GUAGUUAGCCGGGGCUUCCUCCUUGGCUACCGUCACUUCCUUCGUCACCAAGGACAGAGCUUUACAAUCCUAAAACCUUCAUCACUCACGCGGCGUUGCUGGGUCAGGCUUUCGCCCAUUGCCCAAUAUUCCCCACUGCUGCCUCCCGUAGGAGUCUGGACCGUAUCUCAGUUCCAGUGUGGCCGAUCACCCUCUCAGGUCGGCUACCCAUCGUUGACUUGGUGGGCCGUUACCUCACCAACUAUCUAAUGGGACGCGAGCUCACCCUUCAUCGCAUUGCUGCUUUUACCUCAAGGUCAUGCGGCCUCGUGGUCUUAUGCGGUAUUAACACUUCUUUCGAAGUGGUAUCCCCCUUUGAAGGACAGAUUGCUCACGCGUUACUCACCCGUCCGCCGCUCGAACAGCACCCGAAGGCACUGUCCUCGCUCGACUUGCAUGUGUUAAGCACGCCGCCAGCGUUCGUCCUGAGCAUAUACAACUACUGA
rnacentral:rRNA from 1 species